UAAAAUUAGGAGAACAUUGCUGUAACAACAGUUACUAUAACAUCACCAUAACAACAAUGCUCAGUAUAUCAUGAGCCUUCCAAAGACACCCAACUUGACAAACUUUGCAUUAGAUACCACACAAUCGUAUUAUAAGGAUGAACAUGGUGGUGUAGGGUGCUCCCACGAGGUACAGAACGUCACAGUAUGGCCUUCUGCUGCAGUUGCCAGGGGACCCAAAUUCAAAACCAGGAUCCUUAUCUUCCUUCAGAUUCUCCCUAAGACGCCGUUCUUCCUUAAUACCUACAGAACACUGCUAACUGAUAAUGGCUAGACAGCUGGUGAACUGAGAUGACUGACACUGAUCUGGUCACUUGUCUCCAUUAACAAAAAAAAUAAAUCUAGAAAUUGUGCACAGAUCCAGUCUGUGGAAAAAAUGUUUACUGUUGUUUCCCUUUCCUUUGCUUAUUUGCUUCAGCUCGGUGGGACUGCUCAUGUCAUUAAAGUUAAACACAUGCAUAAGCCAUUGUAGGUUUGGGGCCCAAGAUUGUAAAUUCUUGGGGCAAGAAUUGGACUUUUUAUACUACAUGCAUAUGCAGCACCUAACAUGAAGGAACCUUGACUUGUGCUGGACCUUUUAAGUGCUACUGUAAUAAUGAAAUGCCAUCAGCACAGCCUUCAGAAAAUGUGUUGGAUUGUUCAAAUGGGAUAUUACUUAGCCUACCCAGUAAAAGACAGAACAAGUUAUAGAUACACACCUUUCGAUUGCUGGAAAACCUUGCUUCUCAAGAAGAGACAACUUUAAUGUUGCAUAUUUAAUAAAUAAACUAAAAUAAACCCUUCAAGAAAUCCAGAUGGCUCUACUCCAUUUCCUUUUUUGAGAUCACCCCUAUUUCUUCGCCACCUGGGCUGUGUAUCUUAAGUCAUGACAGUAAGUUUAGC